UACGUAGGGGGCGAGCGUUAUCCGGAUUUACUGGGCGUAAAGCGCGUUAAGGCGGUCUGUAAAGUUGGGGGUGAAAUUCAAGGCUCAACCUUGAAACUGCCUCCAAUACUGAUAGGCUUGAGUGCGAGAGAGGAAGGUGGAAUUCCCGGUGUAGCGGUGAAAUGCGCAGAUAUCGGGAAGAACACCCGUGGCGAAGGCGGCUCUCUGGGACGGUACUGACGCUGAGA
rnacentral:rRNA from 1 species